UACGGAGGGUGCGAGCGUUGUCCGGAAUCACUGGGCGUAAAGGGCGCGUAGGCGGCCGCGUAAGUCACUUGUGAAAUCCCGGGGCUCAACUCCGGGGCUGCAGGUGAGACUGCGUGGCUAGAGCACGGUAGAGGCGAGUGGAAUUCCCGGUGUAGCGGUGGAAUGCGUAGAUAUCGGGAAGAACACCCGUGGCGAAAGCGGCUCUCUGGAACGGUACUGACGCUGAGACGCGAAAGCGUGGGGAGCGAACAGG
rnacentral:rRNA from 1 species